rnacentral:lncRNA from 1 species
GCCAGCUUGAUGGCGCCGACAGAGAUGGUCGUCUUGCUUCGCGUUCUUAGGAAACUAUGCAGAAUUUAGCUUUUUUAUGUAUUAUUUCUUACACUGUUACCCCAGGAAAUCUUAAGUCUUAUUACAUACAGCUGGGAAGAACUAUUGGAUAUAAGAGCAACGUAAACGUACAAACAUUACGACCAGGAAUACGACUUUCCCGAAGUGGAUCCUCUGUUCAGACCACCACCCAGGACAAUGGAAUGGAUCCCAGUAGGCGACCCAAAACAACGGCGCCGCAGAAGGGGCAAGACACACGGAGCGGUCUUCUGGUCAGGCUUCGUUGACGGCCACAUUGCUCACCGCUCCCGAGUAUACUACUCGCCAAUGUCCAUUCUCUUGACAACAAGGUAGACGAAAUUCGAGCAAGGGUUGCCUUCCAGAGAGACAGAGAUUGUAACAUUCUCUGUUUAACGGAAACAUGGCUCACUCGGGAUACCUUAUCAGAGUCGGUACAGCAACCCGGUUUCUUCACGCAUCGCACUGACAGAAACAAACAUCUCUCUGGUAAGAAGAAGGGCGGGGGUGUAUUCCUUAUGAUUAAUUCUUUCAAAAACAAGAACAUUUCUAAGUGACCCCAAACUUUUGAACGGUAGUGUAUAUAUUUACCAAAACAUUAUAUGGGGGAUUGGAAAUGAUGCAGACAAUUACAUUGAUAGAAGCAACACUCUAUCUGCAAAAUUAAAGCUGAUCCAUCCCCUGAGUCUUUGAAUUUUUUUUAACAAAACAAUAUAAAGACAAAAAAAAAACUAGAGCACAGGAACACGCUGGAAGGACUUGACCAACUGGCAACAGACAAGCAGAAAACGCAGGAGAGGAUGCCUAGCGGCUGUAUCCAAGAGGCAGAAAAAAUAAUGGUCCUACGUCCAACGCUUUCAAUAGAGGUGAUGCUCAGGAGAUCGUCAGAGACGUGUCUGCAUCAAAACCUUCCAAUUGGAGAUCUGGUUAAGAACUACUUCAAACAGCUGGGCAACUUUCUUUCACGUGAGUAUUUCAGCUCCUGCUCAUGGGAGGUCAUGAGAGCUGAAAUCGGGAGCAUCCUGAAGGAUUUUUACAAGAAAUCAAAAAUGCCAAAAAUGUGAGAGUAGUAUUACUUUUAGUUAAUUUCUGCAAAAAAUGAAUAAAUGAAAUUUGCUACUGUGAG